rnacentral:rRNA from 1 species
AUGGCUUCUUCAGGCCACUAUAUUUUAUGUGUGAUGCACCAUGCAUGUAAACAUUACAAAUCUGAAAAAUCAUUUAGGCAGAAGACUGGAACAGUAGGCAUUAAGUGGAAUUACAAUGCUGGAAGCCCUGGAGCUAGGCUUUGCCGAUUUAGGCCUCAAUCAUGGCUGGCAGUCAAGGUUACAAGCUUAGGCAUUAUGUUACCUCCUAAGGCGAGCCUUGAAAGUCAACAAGUGCUAAUACAUGGAAGUUAUAACAGAUUGGUUCAACAUAUUUUCAUUGAGAUUAUCAUGCCCUCCUUACCCUUCUCCAUGUUAGAUGUUCCCAUACGGACUACAGAGCACCUAGACUACCUAAUAAACUGA